UCCCGUUCUGGCGUCAUGAGUGCGGUGUUAUCAUUUCCUGAGAGUCGGGUUGCUCGGGAUUGCAGCCUGAAUGGGAGGUAAAUUUCUCUCAAAGCUAAAUACAGGCGAGAGACCGAUAGCGAACAAGUACCGUGAGGGAAAGAUGCAAAGAACUUUGAAAAGAGAGUUAAAAGUGCCUGAAUUUGUUGGGGGGAAAGCGUUUGCGUCCAGUGUGCUCGCGUCGAUUCAGCCCUCUUGGGGGUGCAUUUUGGCGUGUGCGGUCAGGGUGGGUUUGGCCCGCGUGUUUUGGUCCCCUUGAGGUCUUCCAUGGCGACGGGGUGACCGUGACGCGGCCUGGACCGAGGCUCGCUUUUUGUCGUGUGUCGGAUGAUCGCACAUUCGUCUGCCAAGCUGCUUGUCUUCGAUGUGCGUGGCGUCUCAAGCUCGUUUUUAGCGUGACCCUGACGAAAUGGUCGCAACCGACCCGUCUAGAAACACGGACCAAGGAGUCUGACGACUGCGCGAGUCUUCGGGUGGCAACCCCGUGGGCGCAAUGAAAGUGACUUGGUGUUCAGCACCGACCGACCGUGAUCUUCUGUGAAUGGUUUGAGUACGAGCGUCGUCGUCGGGACCCGAAAGAUGGUGAACUAUGCCUGAGUAGGGUGAAGCCUGAAGAAAUUCAGGUGGAGGCUCGUAGCGAUACUGACGUGCAAAUCGUUCGUCGAACUUGGGUAUAGGGGCGAAAGACUAAUCGAACCAUCUAGUAGCUGGUUCCCUCCGAAGUUUCCCUCAGGAUAGCUGGAGCUCUUUGUUUGAUUCAGUUUUGU
rnacentral:rRNA from 2 species